UCUUUGAUAUAGAUCUUUUGUUUUGAAUUUCAUACCAUUAACCAUUCUCCUAAUAGCUUCGGUUAAAUGAGCUAGUUAGAACAAUGUGGCUAGUAAUUUGUUAGUUAGCUUGCCUACUGCUAAGAUUAUAGUGUGUGACCUUUACGUUAUGUAUACAGUGAGGCGUUUGCUCCGUCUUUAAAAUUUUCUUUUAGGGAAUUCUGUGGAAAUUCUGUGUUGCUUUAUAACCCGUAUCAUCUAGUCUUCUAGUUUUAUACGCAACAAACAUUACACUGCACUUGCAUACCCCUCUUAAUUCCUGGCAUCACUUUCCAUAAGAAAAUGACAUUUAUCAGCAAAAUUCUGACAUCGCUGGACAUGUUCAACAAGCUAACCCACCUGUACUCUAUGCUAGCAUUAUCGCUCAACAGUUUGAAUGGAUUUUGUACAGGUACUUCGCAGAGCCUGCUGAUCAAUUUGAAAGAGCUGAACAAGAUGAUCUUUUAAAAAGGAUGCUGAAUGAAUCAAUCACAUUUCAUUUCUGGAAUGGCAUGACAUCUGCUUUGGUUCCUGAACCUAACAGUCUUAUGGAGAGGCUUCUAAAUCAGUACUGUCUCCAUUGUCUUGAUGUGUUGUGAUUUUGCAUGGGUGAUCCGACCUUCCAAACAUCCCUGAACCUAACAGUCUUAUGGAGAGGCUUCUAAAUCAGUACUGUCUCCAUUGUCUUGAUGUGUUGUGAUUUUGCAUGGGUGAUCCGACCAUCCAAACAUCGUGUUUUCCAUUGAAGGAAUGACCUCUUGGUAUGCCCAAGAAACGGGAUGGUGCAAGGGUGCUGAAGUGAAAAUUCAGGACUUGUAAGCAGAAAUCAAAGAGGAGCUGCCUUCAGCUAUGUUGGUCAACUUCUGAAUGACAGAUCUUAAUGAAAUCGAUUAGAUUAGCAUGCGAUGCUGAUGCAAGAAAUAAAAGAGUAACCCGUGGAAUCCAGAUUAGAUGCUUGUGUGACUAAAUAGAGAUUUUGAGCACAAGAAUAGUUAUAUAUUUUUGCAUAUUUGAUAAUUUAGAAGGUGUAGAUUCUUUGAAAUUAUCACUCGAAAAGGUUUCGUCAGUGUGACUUUGAGAAAAAUUGUACAAUUGUUGUACCUUCAACCAUUCAUUAUGUUGAUGUUUCUCCUAAAUAAGUUUUGAUGUGUCAUUACUCCUUGAAUAAUCAGAUUGUUGUUUCAGUGCAAUCAAUCUACUUGAUGUGUGAAGUUGGUGUAAUUGACAAAGAGGUGACUCGGAACUCUCAAGGGAAAGAGUCUUAUGGAUCCUUUUUCUUUUCCUGUAGGCUCUGACAGUCUAAUAAUGUAUAUCUGUUUUGCACAUUCAACUUAUAAAAGUGAAAUUACAGAUCUAAAGCAUAUGAUGAUUACACAUAAAUCAUAUGAUUAAAAGUGACACCAAUAAUAAUAGUAAUAAAUUGUUUAUUUAUCCUCUUAUGAUAAAGUAUCAAAGUUUUUUACUUUCUUUCUAGACGUCACAUUAAAAUUAUUUUUUUAGAGUAAAAAAUAAACGAUGAUAUAUUACAAGAUAUGUAUCUCCUCAAUUUAUCUCUCCAUUUAAUUAAGAUGAUGGGCUCACUCAUUCGGAUUGAUAUAUCAUCGUCUCCAUCGAAACGAGGAUCAUUGAUAAAUCUAAAUCACUUGGAUCAGACACGUCUAUCGUCUUUGUCUACUGACCAUGUGCCAUUUCUGAACUUUCGUUUUCUGCAGAGCUCAAUCUCCAUAGCUUUCGAUUUUUGGCCAUCCUCUGUCAGCUUGUGCCUUCACGAACUCUGCUAAGAGCUUGAUUUCAUCCUCCUGCAGCCGUGGUCCGAAUGUGCACUGACCUCUCGGCGUACAUCUCUCUCCGAAACCCUGAUGAUACAAUUCUAGAUUCAGAGCUAUUGAUGCUUCGGUUGCAGACAAUAAUAACAUAAAGGUAAGAGGAGGCUACUUGCCGGCAUCCUUCCCUUUCCAUAGUAAGUGAUGUCGUAUAUUCCCUCCUCUGUGGCAACACCGUUCCUGCACAAGACAAGAAGACCACGUACCUCAGGGUGCAAAAAAAAGAUGCGGAAGAGCAGCGGCUGGCUUACCUUUGCAGAUCUUUCAUGAAUAGAGUGGCACCCUGAAAGGAGGAGGAGGCAAGCGAAUGAGGCAGAUGUGGAACCACCAAACUGGUUACAUUAUUGGAAACGAAAGGAAAUCAAAACACUCACAGGCUGCAAUAGGUUCCCUCCCAUGUCAUGGCAACCGAUACAUGCUUUCUGAAACAGAGCCGCACCAUUCGAUAUAGACUGGCCGUAGGCCACUGCGACAAGUAACCAAACAUGACUUGCAAGUCUCGAUGAUGAUAUGUAUACAGGUCAUUGUUGCAUCGUAUGAGGUAUUGCGUUCAGGAUCAAAAGUCCAAGCCAUUCAUUCAAAAACAAAGGUCCAUUUGUAGAAUUUAUGGGCUUCAAAUUUUGAUUGUCAUGCAUAAAAAUAGUCUUUGGCUUUUCCAAAGGCGGUGUGCUCGGAAGCCUUCAAAAGAAUUUUUCUGCCAUUCAGCUGUGUAAUGUAAUAAUAGAUCUAAUUAGAUCGAUUGUCUGUCUUAAUUGUUUCUAGUCAAAUCUUAUUAGGUUUCUAAUGUAAUGUGGUUUCUACAUGGCAAAUAUGCAUGCAUUUGGCUUCACCCGAGACUGAAUUCGACGGCGUUAUGCCGAUGUGGACACCACAUGGAUGAGACGUCACCGACGACGCACGCAUCAACGAGUCGACGUGUGCAACAACAGUACAUAUAGCAGAGCUGUUUCCAAGAAAGAUUAUGGCGUCGAUGACCGAUGACCCCCACCAAAGGACAGCCUCGAAAUAAUUACCAGCGACGGAGGGCAAUAAGGGGAAGAGGGCGGGCGCUCACCGGGAGCGGAUAAGGCGAGGAUUGCAGUGGCGGCCACCAGAGGAGUCGCCAGCCGCUCCAUGACUCCUCCCGGGGUUCCGCCUCCUUGCUCUUGGCGGAGCGGAGCAGCCUCUCGCCUCUUCGACCAGUCCUAUGCAGAAGUUUUUAGCGUUACCUGGAAAGCUAAACGAUGUUGGAAGGAGAAGCAUCGCAGCUUUUGCUCUGUGAGGUUACCUUCGGGCGGAAGAAGCAGGAGCUGUUGCAGCAGGUGGAGACCAAGCAAAGAGGCUGCCGCAUCUUUCUCGCAGGAAGAAUUCCUAAUAACAGAUUUGCUAGGAGGUGAGGGAAAAGUCGCCGAGAAGUUACAAAUGUGGGCUGGGAAGCAUUACUUGUCGGAGAGACCAAAUCCAGAUCAAAGCGGAUGAUGAUGGCCCGCUCAGGUUUAUGAUGUCAAUGGGUGGCACAGGAUUGGUUGGGACUUUUUUUAUGUUAUAAGUAAGACGAUGUCCGAAUGCUCUUAAUCAAAAUCCCCUUUAAUCGUCAUCAAGAACUUUUACAUGACACGAGUGCAACCUUGACUCCAGUUCAAAGAAACAAACGAAUAACCUAGUAAUUACAUAGGAACAAAACACAAGGUUCGACAAACAAAAAAGUCAGAUAUAUGGAAUCAUCAAGCAGACUGCCGUCACAAUUACUUUGCUGUUCCGAAUAAGUCCAGCAGUCAACCUCCACAUUUAAGACUAAAGAAAGCUUCAGAUGUCCUUGGGAAUCAUGCAGGAGUCGUAGAUCCAGGAGUCCAAAAAGAUCAAAUUACCCCUUGGGCUUUCUCUGGCGUUAGCCAUUUGUUUCUUCUCUGCUAUUUUGCAGACCUGCGUAGCCUAAAUGCUGAAAAAUGGUUGGCGAUUCGGGUUUCUGAUAACUUAUCGCUGCUUGGCAUCUUACUAUUCAUUCUUUGUUUACCAGAGGAUAUAGAUGAUUGCUGCAGGAUCGCAAACAAUGAAGGACCUGAACUUGUAUCCACCUCAGUCUUCGAUGUACAAGUUGAUUUCACCUGUGAGCCGUUGAACUUUGCUGAAGAAGGCUUCCUAUGUUGUUUUUCCAUCACAUCCUGCAGGGUGCAGCCAACAUACCAUCAGAUUUCUUUAACCAUAAAACCAACUUCGUGUGUUAAGAAUUAUUCAUUCAUUCAUUCAUAUAUGCCUAAAAUAUAUAUAAUGAUUUUCCUUGGAAAAGUACUACUAUGUGCAGUCAAGUCACUAUCUACUAUAUUAUUUCUCAUUGCUAGAUAAGUCACCCUUCUCAUAUAGUUUGAUCAUAUCCAGAUGGUUUGAAAAUUUCCACUCUAUCCAGCAUGGAUGCUGAUCAUGGUUUGAAAUUUUCCAUUCUGUUUUGACUCAUUGCUAUACCAACUUUCGGGCCAUUCCAAAUUUGAAUUCCAUUUCAUUUUCUUCAUAAAUACAAGAUGUAAGAGAACUUCAAAGAAAAAAAAAAAGAUAAAUAAAAUCAAAAUAACAAAGUUUCAUGAGUUUUCAUCUAAAAGCAUCGUUGGAUGCGCUUCCAUACGAUUGGGUGCACUUUCCCGUAAGGAAAAUGUACAAUUAGAAAAUCUCUACACCAGAUAGUUAAUUGCUAACACAUCCCAACAUGACCCUAAUCUAUAGGUGCAAUUCAGGUCGGUUGGGCUGUGAUGAACUUCAACCAUAACCCAAUUCAAUCUAACCCAAUUUCUAUAUUAACAGGCAGUAUAUGCUUCAUAUUGCCAAGUCUGAGCCAAGUUAAAGUAGCUAAAGACUGAAUACGGGUUGGGCUUUGACUUUGAGGUCAUCCAAACCAACCCUAUUUGGUCUGCAAAGCCUAGUGGGUAAGUAAACCCAGAGCACCAAAUCCAACCUGACCCAGCAGUUGAACAAGUUGAGUUGGCUUAGUUGAACACAACCAUAAGACCAACAACACAUUCAAUGACACACUAAAAGGCAUGGAACACAGGAUUGAGAAUUAGGAUAUGCUACAGCACUGAUAUCGAAUCAAUUAAGAUAUUGGAAAAUUCAUGUAUAUUGCAGAAUACCAAUAUUGUAGGCUUGCAUACAAAUCUACUAUUCAAAGCAAUAUUCCAUGGUGAUCAACAUAUCCAAAGUGUAUCUUGAAAGCAAAAUUUAUGCAGAAAUAGGUGUAGAUGACACUAAACGAAAUUUGUCGAACAAGAUACCUAAAUGAAAGGAAAAAAAAAACAAAAGGAGAAUAUAAAGCAUGUUGCAAAGAACAUUUCUGAUUGAAUUAACUAGAAGUCUAGAAUACUUCUAUGUUUUAGAUAUUUCUAACUAUUCAAAUAUCCUGAUAGGAACGGAGCUCAAAUCAUAUCAAUAUUUAUAUCUUGGAUUACAAAGAAUUCAUAAUCAGAUUUGGAUGGAAUACAUGUUACUGAAGCCAUAAGUACCAAGAUCUCCAAUUUUGAGGUUUUUGUUGUGCCAAGUUGUUUAGACAUCAUUUAUAAUGUGUUUGGCUUAGUUGGUCAGCAUGGGGCAUGCUGGCUAGCACAUUACCAAUGAGGCAUGCCAACAAGAAGAAAAUUCCUAUGAGAAAACUCAUCUUUAAAAAAAAAAUCACUUUUUAUCUCUCUGCAGAAAUAAUCAUUUUCUUGAAUCGAUGGAAGUAGUUAGAAAUAAAUUUUUAGAAACACAAGAAUAAAUAAUGUUAAUAAAAAUUAAAAGAGAGAGAGAGAGUAAGUAGUUAAAGCUUAUGCUUCUUUGAAGUUUGAAGAAUGUCAAUAUAUCACAAUUGCAAAAUAAAACAAAAAAUCAAAAAAGUUUGAGCCAUGAACGUCUAGAGUUACCACAUUUUGAUGGUUCUCAGAGGCUGCCAGACAACUCCUGCUAUUACUAUCAUCUCGACCAAAAAUGAAUGCCCGGGCAGUUGUUGAUCCUUGUUUGUGUGAAUAUGGCAUCGAAGAACCUUUUGCUCGACCAAGAAAAGAUGCCUGCAUGGUGACUUUAAUUAUUUGAAAGGAUGCCUUGUUUAGACUGGAACGAAUCCAAUUAUUAAACAUUAUAAGCAUGGCAUAAGAAGCUACCAUAUUUGUAAAACAAAAACAUGCAAAUCAAAGGAAAAUCAAUUUGCAUCCAAUUUACCAAAAGUUUGUAAUCAACAAACCUAACAUGCACAACUCAAAGUCUCAAACACUAGUAGAAUAAUAAUCACAUAUAUUUUACCUUUGAAGAGCUAUAGUUGCUUCCCCUCACUAGCAGUCUAUCAAAGUCAGCUGCAAGCAUGUAAAGAGGAUAGAAAGAGCACAUGAAAAUGUUGAUGUCAUAAAAUUUUGUAUGUAAAAGAAAAAGGAAAAGCACAAAUGAAAAUUGUUUGUUUACAUGUAAUUGUUUUCUCUCUCUUUUUGGGCUCAGAAGCAUUGUUCACCUUCUUAAUAAGACCAAAAAAUUCCCGGGAAUCCCCAUCAUCUUCCAGAGAAAUAAAUGUGGAUUCUUCCUGCACAUUUGGAAGUUCGUUAUCAAUUAUUGUACCAAACAUUAAAAUAAUAGAAAUCUCAUAUAUAUUAAGCAAUUUUUAAAUGCCAGAAUUCAAAUUAUAUGGCAACAAACACUCAAAACAAAAUUAGGUUUUGAAUAAGUCAGAGUCAAGAAUGGCUCUUGGUUACUCCGUUUUUCAAUUUCAUUUGUUGCUCUAAUUUGCUCUUAGUGCCACUUCAAAUAACCAAGUUGAACGAACAUGCAUGCCUUUGAGAAUAAUUUCGGUUAGAAAUAAUUACAUAGUGCAACUGGAUUUUAUGCUAUGGUAGAAAUAUGUCCAAAAAAAUAAGAAGAGAGAGGCAAAAGAAAUCAUAAUGCUAUAGCAUAACUAUUUAGAAAAGAAAAGGAGAAAGACAAUAAAGGGAAUAUAUCAAAAAAAAAAGGGAACAAAAAGGAAGAAUUCUUGACUUAUACUUCAUCUGACAGUCCUUCAUGCAAACUUGACUUACAUAUAAACAUGCCUAAACCCUUUUUUCUUCAAUUUGUUUGGGAUUCAAAAAUCACUCUGCAUGCAACCAAAAAUAAAUCACAAAAUAGCCGAUAAAAAUUAUGAAAUAUUUACAAAAUAAAAUAAUAACAAAUAAAGCAAGAAGUUGAUAUGACUUAAAUGUAGAUCUAGCAUUGGCUUAACCUAUGACUAAACCAAAAAGAUAUGCACAAAGAAGUAUGGGCAACUCAACCAUCUACAUUUCCAUAUUUUUGGAUGAUAAUUUUCACCAGAAUAACUUUCCCCCUUCUUAUUAGGCCACCCAAAUUAAUAAGUUUGUCUUAUAACUCCAGGCCAUCUAUCCUGGCAUCACUCAUCAUCAUCAUCAUCAAGAACAACAUGAAUGACA
rnacentral:lncRNA from 1 species